GUGGGGAAUCUUGCGCAAUGGGCGAAAGCCUGACGCAGCCAUGCCGCGUGGAUGAUGAAGGUCUUAGGAUUGUAAAAUCCUUUCACCGGUGAAGAUAAUGACUGUAGCCGGAGAAGAAGCCCCGGCUAACUUCGUGCCAGCAGCCGCGGUAAUACGAAGGGGGCUAGCGUUGCUCGGAUUUACUGGGCGUAAAGGGCGCGUAGGCGGACAUUUAAGUCAGGGGUGAAAUCCCGGGGCUCAACCUCGGAACUGCCUUUGAUACUGGGUGUCUUGAGUAUGAGAGAGGUGUGUGGAACUCCGAGUGUAGAGGUGAAAUUCGUGGAUAUUCGGAAGAACACCAGUGGCGAAGGCGACACACUGGCUCAUUACUGACGCUGAGGCGCGAAAGCGUGGGGAGCAAACAGGAUUAGAUACCCUUGUAGUCC
rnacentral:rRNA from 1 species